rnacentral:misc_RNA from 1 species
AACGCACAUUGCGCCUUCCGGUAUUCCGGGAGGCACGUCUGUUCGAGCGUCAGUAAAACCCCUUCCGGGCCCAUUUUUCCUCUUCACGGGGGGACGGUGCGGCCGCGGGUCCCUGACGAUGGGGACAUACCCCGCCGCGCCUUCGGGUACGCGCGAGGCGUUCCCCGUCUAAACAUGGAGAAAAGCUAGCGGGCUCUAACCGGCCGCGACCGCGAAGACUAGUAGGAAUACAACCGUCUCAAGCGUUUAGUCGCGAUCGGGCCCUGCCUAUUUCAACGCAAACCUAUGUCUUGACCUCGGAUCAGAUGAGGAUACCCGCUGAACUUAA